rfam:Methylomonas methanica MC09, complete genome.
GCCGGGGUGGUGAAACUGGUAGACGCGCCGGAUUCAAAAUCCGGUUCCUUCGGGAGUGUCGGUUCGAUUCCGACCCUCGGUA